UAGAGUUUGAUCAUGGCUCAUGAUGAACGCUAGCGGGAGGCCUAACACAUGCAAGCCGAGCGGUAGAGUUUCUUCGGAAACUUGAGAGCGGCGCACGGGUGCGGAACACGCGUGCAACCUGCCUUUAUCUGGGGGAUAGCCUUUCGAAAGGAAGAUUAAUACCCCAUAAUAUAUUGAUUGGCAUCAGUUAAUAUUGAAAACUCCGGUGGAUAAAGAUGGGCACGCGUAAGAUUAGAUAGUUGGUGAGGUAACGGCUCACCAAGUCAACGAUCUUUAGGGGGCCUGAGAGGGUGAUCCCCCACACUGGUACUGAGACACGGACCAGACUCCUACGGGAGGCAGCAGUGAGGAAUAUUGGACAAUGGGUGAGAGCCUGAUCCGGCCAUCCCGCGUGAAGGAAUAAGGACCUAUGGUUUGUAAACUUCUUUUGUACAGGGAUAAACCUACUCACGUGUGAGUAGCUGAAGGUACUGUACGAAUAAGCACCGGCUAACUCCGUGCCAGCAGCCGCGGGUAAUACCGGAGGGUGCAAGCGUUAUCCGGAUUUAUUGGGUUUAAAGGGUCCGUAGGCGGGCCCGUAAGUCAG
rnacentral:rRNA from 1 species